rnacentral:lncRNA from 1 species
UUCCAAGAUCAUCUCUGAUCUAUCAUCCACAAGUAUAAUGUAGCCCUGAAACCCAUAUUUUACCAACAACAAUACAAAAUCAAACCUCUAGCAACCCCACCAAAAAAAAAAGAAAAAAAAAGUAACAAAUAGAUUACAUAUUGUAUAACAUUAACAAGAAGAAAACCCAUUAGAAUGGUGAAGGGGCAACUUGAUCCAAGAAGGAUGGAGGCGCCAUGUCAAAGAAGGGUCUUCCAGGCCUGCACAGUGAGCCAUACAUGCUUGGCUCACAGCUAUCCAGGAAGUGCCUGGUCUUUAUAAUGGUGAACCUCUUCACUGGCCCCAACCCAAAUAGCAAGCAGAUUGCUAUUGUCAGGAUCGCAGAGCAGAAAAUGCACAUGCAAAUUCUAGCAAGACACCCAAUGCAGCACAUCUUUGCUUCUCUUUCUCCUUUUCUUUUCUGUUUUUUUUUAAGAUUAAGAUCCAAGAAGAGAGAAGAGGGUUUUCUCUCUCUCUCUCUCUCUCUUUUUUCUUUUCUUUGUCUUGUAUUUGGCCAAACAAAAGAUUUCUCUUUUUCCCUUUGGCCAAACGAAAGGUUUUUUGCACGAGAACUUGGAAUUCCCUGGAGGUAGGGAACGCAAAUGCUUAUGACAAUG